AAGUGUUCGACAAACAGCAGGCAAACACGAUCUUCUGGAGCCCUCAGGGGCAGUUCGUGGUCUGAGGAGUAUGAAUGGUGCCUUAGCAUUUGUCGACACUUCCGACUGUACUGUCAUGAACAUUGCAGAGCACUACAUGGCCUCUGACGUCGAGUGGGAUCCAACUGGGCGCUGUGUGGUCACUUCUGUGUCCUGGUGGAGCCAUAAGGUGGACAACGCUUACUGGCUGUGGACAUUCCAAGGACGCCUUCUGCAGAAGAAUAAUAAAGAUCGCUUCUGCCAGCUGCUGUGGAGACCACGGCCCCCCCACACUUCUCAGCCAGGAACAGAUAAAGCAAAUUAAAAAGGAUCUGAAAAAAUACUCCAAGAUCUUUGAACAGAAGGACCGUUUGAGCCAGUCGAAAGCAUCAAAGGAAUUGGUGGAGAGGAGGAGAACCAUGAUGGAAGAUUUCCGGAAAUACCGAAAAACGGCCCAAGAACUCUACAUGAAGCAGAAAAAUGAACGUCUAGAAGUGAGAGGAGGGGUGGACACUGACGAGCUGGACAGCAACGUGGAUGACUGGGAGGAGGAGACCAUUGAGUUCUUUGUCACUGAGGAGGUGAUUCCUCUUGGGAACCAGGAGUGACCUGAGCACUGUGUGCAUCACCACAUCGUGCCCUGAAGCGGAGGCCACCCUUUUGCAGAAAGCCUGCACAACUCUGAAUCUGUACCUGUGCUCUCUCUCACUCUGGGCUGUGAACGCACCUGGGAUUCUUCCAUCCUGACACUUUUUUGUGCCUUUAAACCCCUGGUGUGCACAGUGGGGAGGUUUCGAGGCACUGCUUUGGUUUUUCUCAUCUGGAUUUGUCAACCACCAGUGGUUGCCGAGCAAGACUCCCAGCGGUGCUCCUGUCGUCUCCUCUCCUCCUGCGGUGGUGUUCCAGGGGUUCCACCUGCUGCUGAGCUGGGUUUUAGUUCAAGGACUCACUGUUUUCUAUGUGGGCCAGUGUUGGGUGUGUCCUGGUGACUGGCAGGGGGACAGCAUACUGCCUGUGUCCCACCGAGCUCAGAGGUGCCAUGGCCGUGGACUCCGUGGUGCAGGUGUGGCAGGUUCUCUCAGCAGGUUGAAUGUGGAAAUAAAGCAACCCUGUGUGAAAAAGC